UACGUAGGGGGCAAGCGUUGUCCGGAAUUAUUGGGCGUAAAGCGCGUGUAGGCGGCCAGAUAAGUCCGCUGUGAAAUCUCGAGGCUCAACUUCGAGCUGUCGGUGGAAACUGUCUGGCUAGAGUCCGGAAGAGGAGAAUGGAAUUCCUGGUGUAGCGGUGAAAUGCGUAGAUAUCUGCAGGAACACCCGUGGCGAAAGCGGCGCGCUGGACCACUACUGACGCUGAGGAACGAAAGCUAGGGGAGCAAACAGG
rnacentral:rRNA from 1 species